rnacentral:rRNA from 1 species
UACAGAGGGGGCAAGCGUUAUUCGGAAUUAUUGGGCGUAAAGAGCGUGUAGGCGGCUUGGUAGGUCCGCUGUGAAAACUCGAGGCUCAACCUCGAGAUGUCGGCGGAAACCACUUGGCUAGAGUCCGGAAGAGGAGAGUGGAAUUCCCGGUGUAGCGGUGAAAUGCGCAGAUAUCAGGAGGAACACCUGCGGUGUAGACGGCUUACUGGACCGGUAUUGACGCUGAGGCGCGAAAGCCAGGGGAGCAAACGGG